CCUCCCGUGACGAUGAAUUUCGGUGACUUUCGUUCUUCUGAGCUCGCUGAAGCCACACGUUGCAGUCUGAGGAGG
ensembl:snoRNA SNORD59A small nucleolar RNA, C/D box 59A